rnacentral:tRNA from 1 species
UUUAAUGAGGUGUUUUGCAUUUUAUGUUUUGGUCAUAAAGGUGAUUAGUUGUCCGUUAAAU